rnacentral:rRNA from 1 species
GGAGGAUCCAAGCGUUAUCCGGAAUCAUUGGGUUUAAAGGGUCCGUAGGCGGUCUGAUAAGUCAGAGGUGAAAUCCUGCAGCUCAACUGUAGCAUUGCCUUUGAUACUGUUAGACUUGAGUUAUUGUGAAGUAGUUAGAAUGUGUGGUGUAGCGGUGAAAUGCAUAGAUAUCACACAGAAUACCGAUUGCGAAGGCAGAU